UACGUAGGGGGCAAGCGUUGUCCGGAUUUACUGGGCGUAAAGAGCGUGUAGGCGGCCACGCAGGUCCGUUGUGAAAACUGGAGGCUCAACCUCCAGCUGUCGACGGAAACCGUGUGGCUAGAGUCCGGAAGAGGAGAGUGGAAUUCCUGGUGUAGCGGUGAAAUGCGCAGAUAUCGGGAGGAACACCAAUGGCGAAGGCAGCUCGCUGGGACGGUACUGACGCUGAGACGCGAAAGCGUGGGGAGCAAACAGG
rnacentral:rRNA from 1 species